GGGAAUAUAGUUCAGUAGUAGAAUGCUUACCUAACAUGCAAGAGGCUCUGGGUUCAAACCCCAGCACUGCCA
rnacentral:tRNA from 1 species